rnacentral:pre_miRNA from 1 species
UUAAUUAAUUGUAAAAAGGGUAAGAGGAGGUGACAGAAGAGAGUGAGCACACAUGGUAUUUUCUUGCAUGCUUUGAGAUCCUGCUUGAAGCGAUGCGUGCUCACUCUCUAUCUGUCACCCCAACCCCCCCGCCCCCCAAAAAUCUCCCU